rnacentral:rRNA from 1 species
AUUGAACGCUGGCGGCAGGCUUAACACAUGCAAGUCGAGCGGAGCGAGGGUGCUUGCACCUUAGCUUAGCGGCGGACGGGUGAGUAAUGCUUAGGAAUCUGCCUAUUAGUGGGGGACAACAUUCCGAAAGGAAUGCUAAUACCGCAUACGCCCUACGGGGGAAAGCAGGGGAUCUUCGGACCUUGCGCUAAUAGAUGAGCCUAAGUCGGAUUAGCUAGUUGGUGGGGUAAAGGCCUACCAAGGCGACGAUCUGUAGCGGGUCUGAGAGGAUGAUCCGCCACACUGGGACUGAGACACGGCCCAGACUCCUACGGGAGGCAGCAGUGGGGAAUAUUGGACAAUGGGCGGAAGCCUGAUCCAGCCAUGCCGCGUGUGUGAAGAAGGCCUUUUGGUUGUAAAGCACUUUAAGCGAGGAGGAGGCUACUGGUACUAAUACUACUGGAUAGUGGACGUUACUCGCAGAAUAAGCACCGGCUAACUCUGUGCCAGCCGCCGCCGUAAGAC